rnacentral:tRNA from 1 species
AAGGAUUUAAGUUAAAUACCAAACUAUUAGCCUUCAAAGCUAGCAAUAGGAGAAUUCCUAAGCCUUA